rnacentral:rRNA from 1 species
CAGCCGCCGCGGGAAUACGAAGGGUGCAAGCGUUAAUCGGAAUUACUGGGCGUAAAGCGUGCGUAGGCGGUUUGUUAAGUCUGCUGUGAAAUCCCCGGGCUCAACCUGGGAAUGGCAGUGGAUACUGGCAAGCUAGAGUGUGUCAGAGGAUGGUGGAAUUCCCGGUGUAGCGGUGAAAUGCGUAGAGAUCGGGAGGAACAUCAGUGGCGAAGGCGGCCAUCUGGGACAACACUGACGCUGAGGCACGAAAGCGUGGGGAGCAAACAGGAUUAGAUACCCCAGUAGUCCCUGUCUCUUAUAA